GUAAUAGAUGGGUUGCCUGGAAUUAUUGGACCACCAGGCCAAAUAGGUGCCCCCGGCCCAGAUGGAGCCAGAGGUUCCUGGGGUCGACCAGGCAUGAAGGGCGAACCAGGUUUGGUAGGUCCUCCAGGCCCCUCACCACCAUUAGACUUCGUGGGGCCCCCAGGGGAGCCUGGCAAUCCGGGUUACCUUGGUCUGUCUGGUGCCCGUGGAGAUACUGGAAGUAUUGGGCCAAAAGGGCAGAGAGGGCUA
rnacentral:lncRNA from 1 species